rnacentral:misc_RNA from 1 species
GGCUGUCCUGACUGCCCAUGUGUGAUAUGGUGCACCAACUUGUGAAUAAGCUGUUGUAGCUGCGUCCUUUAAAGAGUAGUCACUGAAAGGAACAAUUUUCAAAGGAUUAGUUUGCACAACCACAGGACUAAAUUAGAGUUCGAAAUGCUUUUGCAAUACUAAAUACCCACAAUGCCUCUAAUCAACUUGAUGUAGAAUCAAUAGGGU